rnacentral:sRNA from 1 species
UUUUCGCCUGAAUAAAAGAGGAUGAGAACCUCCGAAGGAGGGUUGCGCCGAGCGCAGCGAGACAACGUUGCGAAUGCAACGGCCCGAAGGGGGCUUACGCAGUAAGCCUAAUCCUCUCUCGCCGACCA